UGGGUCAGUCGUCCUUUUUGUUUUGUUCUCUUUUGAUCUUCAAUCAUUCCUGAGAAUGUCAUCCACUCCGAUGGGUUGUUGACGUGCAGAAGACAUUCUGGCACUUAAGGUAUAAAAAGGUCUAAAUUUUAUUAGGAUAGAAGAGAAAGAUUAUACCUAGACAUCAACUGUAUAUUUAUAUAGCCUGUGGCAGGCAAGCCCAUUAACCAUUAGUGCAG
rnacentral:lncRNA from 1 species